GUGGGGAAUAUUGGACAAUGGGCGCAAGCCUGAUCCAGCAAUGCCGCGUGGGUGAAGAAGGCCUUCGGGUUGUAAAGCCCUUUUGUACGGAAAGAAAUCCUGGUGGUUAAUACCCGCCGGGGAUGACGGUUCCGUAAGAAUAAGCACCGGCUAACUUCGUGCCAGCAGCCGCGGUAAUACGAAGGGUGCAAGCGUUAAUUGGAAUUACUGGGCGUAAAGCGUGCGUAGGUGGUUUCUUAAGUCUGUCGUGAAAGCACUGGGCUCAACCUGGGAUUGGCGAUGGAUACUGGGAGGCUAGAGUUCGGUAGAGGAUGGCGGAAUUCCCGGUGUAGCGGUUAAAUGCGUAGAGAUCGGGAGGAACAUCUGUGGCGAAGGCGGCCAUCUGGACCAGCACUGACACUGAGGCACGAAAGCGUGGGGAGCAAACAGGAUUAGAUACCCUGGUAGUCC
rnacentral:rRNA from 1 species